rnacentral:rRNA from 1 species
AACGAACGCUGGCGGCAUGCCUAACACAUGCAAGUCGAACGAUACCUUCGGGUCUAGUGGCGCACGGGUGCGUAACGCGUUGGAACCUUUCUUUAGGUUCGGAAUAACUCAGAGAAAUUUGAGCUAAUACCGGAUGAUGUCUUCGGACCAAAGAUUUAUCGCCUUUAGAUGGGCCCGCGUUGGAUUAGCUAGUUGGUGGGGUAAAGGCCUACCAAGGCGACGAUCCAUAGCUGGUCUGAGAGGAUGAUCAGCCACACUGGGACUGAGACACGGCCCAGACUCCUACGGGAGGCAGCAGUGGGGAAUAUUGGACAAUGGGCGAAAGCCUGAUCCAGCAAUGCCGCGUGAGUGAUGAAGGCCUUAGGGUUGUAAAGCUCUUUUAACCGAGAUGAUAAUGACAGUAGCGGGAGAAUAAGCGCCGGCUAACUCCGUG